rnacentral:tRNA from 1 species
GGGGUAGUAGUUUAAUUGGUAGCAACGGAGGGCAAAUUACCCUAGCGGUGUGAGGUUCGAGUCCCACCUACCCCC